rnacentral:rRNA from 1 species
UACGAAGGGGGCUAGCGUUGCUCGGAAUGACUGGGCGUAAAGGGCGCGUAGGCGGAGUGCUUUGUCAGGCGUGAAAUUCCAGGGCUUAACCUUGGGGCUGCGUUUGAGACGGGCAUUCUUGAGUAUGGAAGAGGGUCGUGGAAUUCCCAGUGUAGAGGUGAAAUUCGUAGAUAUUCGGAAGAACACCAGUGGCGAAGGCGGCUCACUGGCCCGGUACUGACGCUGAGGUGCGAAAGCGUGGGGAGCAAACAGG